rnacentral:rRNA from 1 species
CAGUUCAGAUUGCAGGCUGAAACUCGCCUGCAUGAAGUCGGAAUUGCUAGUAAUCGCAGAUCAGCAUGCCGCGGUGAAUACGUUCCCGGGCCUUGUACACACCGCCCGUCACACCAUGAGAGUUUGUAACACCCAAAGCCGGUGGGGUAACCUUUUGGAGCCAGCCGUCUAAGGUGGGACAGAUGAUUGGGGUGAAGUCGUAACAAGGUAAC